GUUAGAGGCUGAUCAGAGCUCGGGAGUCCCUUCAAGCGAGGUUGGAAGCUAGAAUAUCUUGUAAUUUUAUUUUUUACUAUUAUGUAAAGAUGACUUUUCAUCAGUGAAAUAAAUUUUCUACUUUUUUAAAAUCAUACCAUUUUGUGUGUAUUCAUCUAGUCUCUCGACAAGCCAUCAACAGGGGCAGUCUCCCUAUCCUUCAAGUCGAGCUCUUGUCGGCCCCUUUUGUUGUGC
rnacentral:lncRNA from 1 species